CUUUCACUAAUCAGUGGUGUUAGAAACUAGAUCAGCAAUCUACACCAUCCGCUCGCUUCGGUAAAUCUACACCGUUCCUCCCUACACCUCAUCCUCCAUCAAUGCGGCUCCAGUACCCAUUCCUCCAUCGGCGCGGCAGCAUCCAGUUCAUCUGCGACGACAAGGCGUCUUCACCAACCACACCCUACUACAAGUGGUGUCAGUCCAUCUCAGAUAAGUGGAGUAAUUUGUUUGUAUAUAUAUCUUCUAUAUUAUUUCUACCCUAAUCCUGAUUAAUAGCCUAAUCACGCGACAACUAAUACAUGUUGAUUUCUUUCCUUAGACGGCGUCAUGCACAUGUGAGAUCUAGGGAGAGGAAGAGGAGGAAGGGUUGUGGGGACCGGGGGUGCGAGAUGGUGGAUUCACCUGCAACUACAAGAAAACAAAGAGCGAGAGAUUUACAGAAACCUCUAGAGCCGUGGAGGAGGAGGAGAUUUGGAGGAUCUCUACGACACUGACGGAUUAGUUAAGGAACGAAAGAUCACAUCGUGUCCGGUAACCAGAUUCAGAUGUGGACGCCGUGCGUGGGUGCGAGGCCAAGCCGAGGUGAAAGAGAUGAAGAGCGUGACCAAGAACUUCCUGAUUUUUCAUCAUUUAUUCCAUUCUUACCUCCUCUGAGUGCAGCUAAUCUAAAGGUCUACUAUGCCACACGUUUCACCAUCAUAGUUGGGAUAAUGGUGUUCGGUGGUUUUCUUGCACCAAUCUUAAACUUGGUCUAGGGGGCACAUCUUAUGAAGACUCCAUCCGAAGCGUUCAUCUGUCGACGUAUUUGAGGUACUGCCACUUUUUCAUUGUCCAUUAAUGUAUCAAGGUUCAUCUAGCAACGGUUGGGACUGCUAGGAUCUGGGGUGCGCAAUGGUUUCAAACCAUCAUUUUUUUCUUGUUUUCUGCAUCACAUAUAGCUUGUUUUUCUUCUUUUAUCUAAAUUCUAACAGAGAUUUUCAAAUUCAAAUGGAAAAUGGCAAGAAGUUUAUAUGUUUAGAAGAAAAACAUGAACAUACACUAGCAACAUGUUCUACUGAGUAUUUGUUAAUUUCUUUUUAUUUCUUUCAUGCACAUAAGAUCUUGUUUACUCCUUUUUGUUUAAGAUAUAGACUAUUUAUUGCCAUUUAAAGGCUACAAGUGCUUGAAUUUUUGUGGCCAUGUCUGCUCGUGCUAUUUCUGGACAUUGCAAAUUGCAAAAGUGCACUCAUGUUAUACACCCAGUAAAGAGCAAGACAUUUGAAAGCUCAUGGGCCACCUGUGUUGCUAUUGAUGCAAGCGAAAGUUGGCUGGUAUAACUUUCAGUUCAAACUCUUUACUAAAAUGUUUUAAACUUAUGUAUGUCAAUAUCUUGUUACUUAUAACCAGUUUGCUUUUCUUAAAGGUUGAGUUUUGUUACGUGUUGGCUGACAGAUGUAGUGAUGUUCUCGCAUGUUAA